rnacentral:rRNA from 1 species
UACGUAGGGAGCAAGCGUUGUCCGGAAUCAUUGGGCGUAAAGCGCGCGUAGGUGGCUUCGUAAGUCCGUUGUGAAAGUCAAAGGCUCAACCUUUGAAUGCCGAUGGAUACUGCGGAGCUAGAGUACGGAAGAGGCGAGUGGAAUUCCUGGUGUAGCGGUGGAAUGCGCAGAUAUCAGGAGGAACACCAAUGGCGAAGGCAGAUCUCUGGGCCGUAACUGACGCUGAGGAGCGAAAGCAUGGGGAGCGAACAGG